rnacentral:rRNA from 1 species
AUUCGCCCUUAGAGUUUGAUCCUGGCUCAGGACGAACGCCGGCGGCGUGCUUAACACAUGCAAGUCGAACGGAAAGGCCCUGCUUUUGUGGGGUGCUCGAGUGGCGAACGGGUGAGUAACACGUGAGUAACCUGCCCUUGACUUUGGGAUAACUUCAGGAAACUGGGGCUAAUACCGGAUAGGAGCUCCUGCUGCAUGGUGGGGGUUGGAAAGUUUCGGCGGUUGGGGAUGGACUCGCGGCUUAUCAGCUUGUUGGUGGGGUAGUGGCUUACCAAGGCUUUGACGGGUAGCCGGCCUGAGAGGGUGACCGGCCACAUUGGGACUGAGAUACGGCCCAGACUCCUACGGGAGGCAGCAGUGGGGAAUAUUGCACAAUGGGCGGAAGCCUGAUGCAGCAACGCCGCGUGCGGGAUGACGGCCUUCGGGUUGUAAACCGCUUUCGCCUGUGACGAAGCGUGAGUGACGGUAAUGGGUAAAGAAGCACCGGCUAACUACGUGCCAGCAGCCGCGGUGAUACGUAGGGUGCGAGCGUUGUCCGGAUUUAUUGGGCGUAAAGGGCUCGUAGGUGGUUGAUCGCGUCGGAAGUGUAAUCUUGGGGCUUAACCCUGAGCGUGCUUUCGAUACGGGUNNACUNNNGGAAGGUAGGGGAGAAUGGAAUUCCUGGUGGAGCGGUGGAAUGCGCAGAUAUCAGGAGGAACACCAGUGGCGAAGGCGGUUCUCUGGGCCUUUCCUGACGCUGAGGAGCGAAAGCGUGGGGAGCGAACAGGCUUAGAUACCCUGGUAGUCCACGCUGUAAACGGUGGGUACUAGGUGUGGGGUCCAUUCCACGGGUUCCGCGCCGUAGCUAACGCUUUAAGUACCCCGCCUGGGGAGUACGGCCGCAGGGCUAAAACUCAAAGGAAUUGACGGGGACCCCGCACAAGCGGCGGAGCAUGCGGAUUAAUUCGAUGCAACGCGUAGAACCUUACCUGGGUUUGACAUGGAUCGGGAGUGCUCAGAGAUGGGUGUGCCUCUUUUGGGGUCGGUUCACAGGUGGUGCAUGGCUGUCGUCAGCUCGUGUCGUGAGAUGUUGGGUUAAGUCCCGCAACGAGCGCAACCCUUGUUCACUGUUGCCAGCACGUUAUGGUGGGGACUCAGUGGAGACCGCCGGGGUCAACUCGGAGGAAGGUGGGGAUGACGUCAAGUCAUCAUGCCCCUUAUGUCCAGGGCUUCACGCAUGCUACAAUGGCUGGUACAGAGAGUGGCGAGCCUGUGAGGGUGAGCGAAUCUCGGAAAGCCGGUCUCAGUUCGGAUUGGGGUCUGCAACCCGACCUCAUGAAGUCGGAGUCGCUAGUAAUCGCAGAUCAGCAACGCUGCGGUGAAUACGUUCCCGGGGCUUGUACACACCGCCCGUCAAGUCAUGAAAGUUGGUAACACCCGAAGCCGGUGGCCUAACCGUUGUGGGGGAGCCGUCGAAGGUGGGACUGGUGAUUAGGACUAAGUCGUAACAAGGUAACCAA